rnacentral:pre_miRNA from 12 species
CUGGGGCUGAGACAGUUAAGACUUGCAGUGAUGUUUAGGGCAAUGAUGACAUGAACAUCACUUUAAGUCUGUGCUGACUCUUCUCUUUUU